GUGAGGAAUAUUGGUCAAUGGGCGAGAGCCUGAACCAGCCAAGUAGCGUGAAGGAAGACUGCCCUACGGGUUGUAAACUUCUUUUGUACGGGAAUAAAGUGCGCCACGUGUGGUGUUUUGCAUGUACCGUACGAAUAAGGACCGGCUAAUUCCGUGCCAGCAGCCGCGGUAAUACGGAAGGUCCGAGCGUUAUCCGGAUUUAUUGGGUUUAAAGGGAGCGCAGGCGGAAUGUUAAGUCAGCUGUGAAAUCCCGUCGCUCAACGGCGGAACUGCAGUUGAUACUGGCUUUCUUGAGUGCACAUAAGGAUGGUGGAAUUCGUGGUGUAGCGGUGAAAUGCUUAGAUAUCACGAAGAACUCCGAUUGCGAAGGCAGCCAUCUGGGGUGCAACUGACGCUGAGGCUCGAAAGUGCGGGUAUCAAACAGG
rnacentral:rRNA from 1 species